ensembl:ncRNA T28B4.9 ncRNA
ACAUGCAUCAUAGUUUCUAUUGUAUUUUGUGUCGUUUAUAAUUUGGUUAAAUCAGGCCGG